AAGUCGUAUAAAAGGCGAGAGAAAAGUCGAUAGGGAUCAGUCGAGCGAGUAUCUCCGACACGGUAAGAGCUGCUGUGCAUUAUUUGCUAUCAGGCAUCAGCUGCAAUCUUCGUCGUAUUGUCAGUUAAUUUUCAGUGAAUCGUAUGUAAGGGCAAAGAAAAGGCGAAAGAAAUCAGUCGAGUGAAUAUUUCCGAUAUACAAGAGCUAAAGUGCACCACAUGUCACCAACUGCAUUCUUCGUCGCGCUACCAGUUUCAUUCAUGGUAAACUGUGCUGUUGUUGGGUGUUGUAUCGUUGAUAGCUGUGUCGACCACUGGUGUACCGAUGAUUCUUGGGUGUGGCGGAUACCAAAGCACUACACUCCCGCCUUACUACACAACAUACAACACAACCAGUUGCUACACCAAUGCUUUAAAUACUACUCCACCAAGGAACCAGAGUGUUACACACCUACAAAUGCCGCGCCAGCUUAUUACACCGAGGCUCCCUAACACAACACCACCAAGUCAUUGGAGUACUACACCACUACAUAUCAUGGUAUGAAAGGAGAGAAAAGGUGAAAGAAUUCAGCAGCCGAGUGAGCAUCUCCGUUACGGCAUUAGGAAAUGCCGUGCACUAUUUGUCAACAACUUCAUUCUUCAUCGAAUUCCAAGUUUUAAAUUAAGUAAACUAUGGCGUCGUGCUGCUGUUGGGUGUUGUAUCGUUGAUGGUUGUUGGUUCAGCCAUGGUGUACCGAUAUCUCCAGGGUAUGGUGGGUACCAACAACAACACCACGAAGGCAGCGGAGUACUACACCACGAAGGCAGCGGAGUACUACACCACGAAGGCAGCGGAAUACUACACCACGAAGGCAGCAGAGUACUACACUACAUCCUACGCUGCUCCAAAGGCCCCGAGCUCGAGCUCUAUCACCAAGUCACCGGAGUAUUACACAACUACGUAUGCAGCGCCAGCUUACUACACCGUCGUAUAAAAGGAGAGAGAAGAGUCAAAUGAAAUCAGUCGAUGGAGCAUCUCCGACACGGUAACAUCUGUAGUGAAUUAUUUGUCACAACCUGCAUUUUUCGUCAGUUAUGGGUUAUGGUUAUGGUCGUAUUAAAGGAGACAACAGGUGAUCAUUUCCGACAUGGCAAUAACUGCGGUGCACUAUUCGUUACCAACUGCAUUCUUCGUCGUACCACCAGUUUGCUAUCAUGGUUACAAUGGAAAAAUUCGUUGUUCACGCUUGUAGUUCACAAGAAACGUUUCGUAAAACUGGCAUGCGGUGGUGUAGAGGUUAGGUGAGAACCGGACGUUUUCCAUCAUUAUCAAAAAGGUACAAUAGCCGCAAGGCUCAAGAGGUGGAUCAGGGUGAGAAAAAGUUGUAUAAAAGGAGAGAAACGGGUACAGAAAUCAGUUGAGCGAGUAUCUCCGACACGGCAACAGCAACUGCAGUGCACAAUAUGUCAGGAACUGCCUUCUUCGUCGCUUUACUGCCCUCAAUUAUGUAAAAUAUCGAGCUGCUGCUGCUAUCGUCGUCGUGCUGAUGUUGGGUGUCGUAUUGGCUCGGUCAACCACUGGUGUACUGAUGUCUUUUGGGUAUGGUGGUUAUGAAACCGCAACGCCGCACGUUACUACACCGAGGCCUCCAAGUACUUCACCACCAAGUCUCCAGAUUAUUACACCACAACUUCGCUGCCCGAGCUACUACACCAAAUCCCCGAAGUACUAUUCUUCCCCGAGAUACGCCAUUAAAGGGUCGAGUACUACACCGAGGCCCCUAUUUACUACACCACUACAUAUCAUGUCGUAUAAAAGGAGAGAAGGCGAUAGAUAUCUGUCGAAUGGUUAUCACCGGCAUGGCAACAACUAAUAGUGCAGUAGUCGUCACCAACUGCAUUCUUCGUCGUACCACCAGUUUUGCAAUCAUUGCACGACGCCGCCGUCUUACUAUGGAACAUCAACAUACGACACGACCAGUUAUUACACCGAGGCCCCCAAGUACUACACCACCAAGGAACCAUAGUGUUACACAACUACAAAUGCCGCGCCAGCUUUAAUCAUUGUUAUCUAUGGCGUGCUGCUGUUGGGUGUUGAAUCGUUGAUGGCUGGAUUGACAGCUGGUGUGCCGAUGUCUCCUGGGUAUGGCGGGUAUCAAACCACAACGCCGGCGUCUGACUGCACGACAACAUACGGAAUGACCAGUUACUACACUGAGGCCUCCAUGUACUACACCACCAAUGUUCCAGAUUGUUAUACAAAAACAUAAGCUUUCUCGAGUUACUACGCAGAAGCCCCGAAGUAUUAUUCUACCCCGAGCUCUUUCACCAAGUCACCGGAGUAUUACACAACUACGUAUGCAGCGCCAGCUUACUACACCGAGGCUACCAAAUACUACUCUGCUCUUAACUACUGCACCGAGGCUCUAGCUUAUCACACCACCAACGGUCGAAAUCUACACAAAAGUGCCAAAGUACUACUCUGUCCCGAGCUACACAUCUCUAACUGAGGUGGCCAAGUAUUACGUAUCCUUAAUUAACCAACCGCUGCCCCUUCGUAUUAUGCUGAACCGAAAUACUACACUGAAGCCCCAGUUUACUACACCACAACCUACGCUACACCCUGCUACUACACCGAAGCUCUGAAGCAGUACACUACGAAGGGACCCGAGUACUAUGCCACUACAUACGAUGCUCCGACCUACUACACCGAAGCUCUGAAGUGUUACUCUGCCUCCAGUUACUACACCGUCAAGUCAUCUGAACGUUACACCACGACCUACGCUUCUCCAACUUACUACAGGGAGGUUCCUAACUAUUAGAGCCAAAUUUGUUUUAUUUAUCUGUGUAUAGGUUUUCUGUCGUAUCAUAAUAGUUACUUGUCGCUGGUAAUUGUUGUUGUUCUUAAAUUAGAAAAUAUACGUAUUAAAGCGGGUAA